CCUGUAAAAUAGUUAACAAGAUAAAAUUAUAUGAAAUAUGGACACCCAAAAAUUUCACUUCAGAUGUAGUGGGUAACAAACAAUUAUUAUAUUGCACAGCAGGUGUACUGUGACAAUGUUUACCAAAUACAAUAACUUUAGACUUGGAUGGAUUCACACUGAGAUCAAGGAAUCCCUAUUUGUAAUAACUCAAGGCAUAGAAUAUCUAUGUUUACACUAUUAAAAGCACCUGCGAUGUCAAAGAAUACACCGACCAAGUUUUCAUUUGCGGAUAUAGAGUUUUGUAUAUCCAGCUGUAACUGGCAAACGCUUUCUCUAGCAGAACGAUUUCUACGAAAACCAAAUUGAUUGGAAGGAAUAUGAUAACUAGUACCAAGCGGACAAUCAUGUACAGACCAGUCACAGUUGAGAGCCAGUGAUGAAGAUACCAAUGAUAAAUCCAAAGCAUUGGGUCGCCAUGUUGGAGAACCGAUAGUCGUUGCUUGCCCAUCAUUAAGGAGAACCAAAUUAUUAUCCUCAAUAACCUCUAGAAUAUUUCGACCACGCGGGCUGUCGGAACCACAGCCCCAACAAGUGUGAUGAGCGUUAAAAUCACCCGCAAAUAUGAAAGGACUAGGAAUAGACUUAACCAAUGUAUCAAAAUUGUUUUUGCUGAAGACUGGGUUAGAGUUUAAAGGACUAUAGAAACUAACUAUACAUAUAUCUUUAUUAUUAACUGUUAUUUUCACACAUACAUUUUGUAAGGAAUUAUCGAAAUAGGUGUUAAUUCUAGAAUAAAUAAUGCUUUUAUGUAUUAUAAUUGCAACACCAUUGUGUUUGUUACCACAAUCAUUCCUUUCAACAUUGUAAUUUUUAAUUUUAAAAUUUUGUUCAGGUUUUAACCAAGUUUCACUGAUUAUAGCAAUAUGAAUAUUGUGUGUAUAAAGAAAAUUAAUAAAUAUAUGUUUGUUACUAUUCAGA